rnacentral:rRNA from 1 species
GGGUUGUGAGGUUAAGCGACUAAGCGUACACGGUGGAUGCCCUGGCAGUCAGAGGCGAUGAAGGACGUGCUAAUCUGCGAUAAGCGUCGGUAAGGUGAUAUGAACCGUUAUAACCGGCGAUUUCCGAAUGGGGAAACCCAGUGUGUUUCGACACACUAUCAUUAACUGAAUCCAUAGGUUAAUGAGGCGAACCGGGGGAACUGAAACAUCUAAGUACCCCGAGGAAAAGAAAUCAACCGAGAUUCCCCCAGUAGCGGCGAGCGAACGGGGAGGAGCCCAGAGCCUGAAUCAGUGUGUGUGUUAGUGGAAGCGUCUGGAAAGGCGCGCGAUACAGGGUGACAGCCCCGUACACAAAAAUGCACAUACUGUGAGCUCGAUGAGUAGGGCGGGACACGUGGUAUCCUGUCUGAAUAUGGGGGGACCAUCCUCCAAGGCUAAAUACUCCUGACUGACCGAUAGUGAACCAGUACCGUGAGGGAAAGGCGAAAAGAACCCCGGCGAGGGGAGUGAAAAAGAACCUGAAACCGUGUACGUACAAGCAGUGGGAGCCUCUUUUAUGGGGUGACUGCGUACCUUUUGUAUAAUGGGUCAGCGACUUAUAUUCUGUAGCAAGGUUAACCGAAUAGGGGAGCCGAAGGGAAACCGAGUCUUAACUGGGCGUUAAGUUGCAGGGUAUAGACCCGAAACCCGGUGAUCUAGCCAUGGGCAGGUUGAAGGUUGGGUAACACUAACUGGAGGACCGAACCGACUAAUGUUGAAAAAUUAGCGGAUGACUUGUGGCUGGGGGUGAAAGGCCAAUCAAACCGGGAGAUAGCUGGUUCUCCCCGAAAGCUAUUUAGGUAGCGCCUCGUGAAUUCAUCUCCGGGGGUAGAGCACUGUUUCGGCAAGGGGGUCAUCCCGACUUACCAACCCGAUGCAAACUGCGAAUACCGGAGAAUGUUAUCACGGGAGACACACGGCGGGUGCUAACGUCCGUCGUGAAGAGGGAAACAACCCAGACCGCCAGCUAAGGUCCCAAAGUCAUGGUUAAGUGGGAAACGAUGUGGGAAGGCCCAGACAGCCAGGAUGUUGGCUUAGAAGCAGCCAUCAUUUAAAGAAAGCGUAAUAGCUCACUGGUCGAGUCGGCCUGCGCGGAAGAUGUAACGGGGCUAAACCAUGCACCGAAGCUGCGGCAGCGAC